rnacentral:rRNA from 1 species
CCUACGGGUGGCAGCAGUGAGGAAUAUUGGUCAAUGGGCGCGAGCCUGAACCAGCCAAGUAGCGUGAAGGAUGACUGCCCUACGGGUUGUAAACUUCUUUUAUAAAGGAAUAAAGUGAGGCACGUGUGCCUUUUUGUAUGUACUUUAUGAAUAAGGAUCGGCUAACCCCGUGCCAGCAGCCGCGGUAAUAUGGAGGAUCCGAGCGUUAUCCGGAUUUAUUGGGUUUAAAGGGAGCGUAGAUGGGUUGUUAAGUUGUUUGUGAAAGUUUGCGGCUCAACCGUAAAAUUGCAAUUGAUACUGGCAGCCUUGAGUGCAGUAGAGGUGGGCGGAAUUCGAGGUGUAGCGGUGAAAUGCGUAGAUAUAACGAAGAACUCCGAUUGCGAAGGCAGCUGACUAGACUGCAACUGACGUUGAUGCUCGAAAGUGUGGGUAGCAAACAGGAUUAGAUACCCGUGUAGUC